rnacentral:rRNA from 1 species
GAUUGACGGACUGAAGGCUCUUUCUCGAUUCCGUGGAAAGUGGUGCAUGGCCGUUUUUGGUUGGUGGAUCGAUCCGUCUGGUUAAUUCCGUUAACGAACGAGACCUCGGCACUCCGAAUAGCGCGGCGGACGUCGCGGCCUCCGGGCCGUCUUCCGCACGAGCUUCUUAGAGGGACCGUCCCCCGCCGGGGAAGGAGGUGCGAGGCAACGACAGGUCUGUGAUGCCCUUAGAUGUUCUGGGCCGCACGCGCAUUACACUGACGCGUCCAACGGGUGACUCCCGACCCGAAGGGGCCGGGGAAUCCGCAAGGCGCGUCGUGAUGGGGAUUGAACGUUGCAAUUGUUGUUCACGAACGAGGAAUUCCUAGUAGGCGCGGGUCAUCAACCCGCGCCGAUUACGUCCCUGCCCUUUGUACACACCGCC